AAACGUUCCGGCGCUGUAGGAUGUGGCUGCGGCCGAUUAGGUAGAUGGUGGGGUAACGGCCCACCAUGCCGAUAAUCGGUACAGGUUGUGAGAGCAAGAGCCUGGAGACGGUAUCUGAGACAAGAUACCGGGCCCUACGGGGCGCAGCAGGCGCGAAACCUUUACACUGCACGACAGUGCGAUAGGGGGACUCCGAGUGCGAGGGCAUAUAGCCCUCGCUUUUCUGUACCGUAAGGUGGUACAGGAACAAGGACUGGGCAAGACCGGUGCCAGCCGCCGCGGUAAUACCGGCAGUCCGAGUGAUGGCCGAUAUUAUUGGGCCUAAAGCGUCCGUA
rnacentral:rRNA from 1 species